rnacentral:rRNA from 1 species
AGCGAACGCUGGCGGCAGGCUUAACACAUGCAAGUCGAGCGGGCACUUUCGGGUGUCAGCGGCGGACGGGUGAGUAACGCGUGGGAACGUGCCCUCUGGUUCGGAAUAACUCAGGGAAACUUGAGCUAAUACCGGAUACGCCCUUUUGGGGAAAGGCUUGCUGCCGGAGGAUCGGCCCGCGUCUGAUUAGCUAGUUGGUGAGGUAACGGCUCACCAAAGCGACGAUCAGUAGCUGGUCUGAGAGGAUGAUCAGCCACACUGGGACUGAGACACGGCCCAGACUCCUACGGGAGGCAGCAGUGGGGAAUAUUGGACAAUGGGCGCAAGCCUGAUCCAGCCAUGCCGCGUGAGUGAUGAAGGCCUUAGGGUUGUAAAGCUCUUUUAUCCGGGACGAUAAUGACGGUACCGGAGGAAUAAGCCCCGGCUAACUUCGUG